GAUGAACGCUGGCGGCGUGCCUAAUACAUGCAAGUCGAGCGAACGGACGAGAAGCUUGCUUCUCUGAUGUUAGCGGCGGACGGGUGAGUAACACGUGGAUAACCUACCUAUAAGACUGGGAUAACUUCGGGAAACCGGAGCUAAUACCGGAUAAUAUUUUGAACCGCAUGGUUCAAAAGUGAAAGACGGUCUUGCUGUCACUUAUAGAUGGACCCGCGCUGCAUUAGCUAGUUGGUAAGGUAACGGCUUACCAAGGCAACGAUGCAUAGCCGACCUGAGAGGGUGAUCGGCCCCACUGAAACUGAGACACGGUCCAGACUCCUACGGGAGGCAGCAGUAGGGAAUCUUCCGCAAUGGGCGAAAGCCUGACGGAGCAACGCCGCGUGAGUGAUGAAGGUCUUCGGCUCGUAAAACUCUGUUAUUAGGGAAGAACAUAUGUGUAAGUAACUGUGCACAUCUUGACGGUACCUAAGCAGAAAGCCACGGCUAACUACGU
rnacentral:rRNA from 1 species